UCUUACUCUGCUGGCUUUUGGUAUUUUAGUUUUGGGGUUGGUAGUCUUAGUUUGUGGGCUUUGUUUAUUUGUUUUCUUUAGGUAGUUUUGGUUAUGCAGCCAUUUGCAGGGAGCUGCUGACUCUGAUGCCGACGCCCGAGAUGGCUGGGUCAACAGUCUCCGUGACUCAUUUCAUGUUUGUCCAAGGAGCCACCAUGGAGAGAUAAAAGAGACACAUGAGGAUCUGGACAUUGGAGACUCCUGGUCUAGAAGAAAUGACAGCAAAACACACAAACUCCACUGAAACACUGAGUUGUGAACCACAGAAAUCUGUAUUAAUCUGCUGUAAAACCACCAGCUGAUGCUUUAUCAUGAUUUACAAACAUUUACAGUAAAUCUGAGGCCUAAACUUCACGUUGAGAAGUUGCAUUUUAUUUUUAAUCAUGUUUCCAGACCCCGCUUGAUGAAAGAAUGACCACAUUUUUAAAUGAUUACAUUUCUAGUUUAUAUUAUCACUUGUAUUAAAAGGUUUGUUUAGUUAACUGGAGUUUCACACUUGAAGCAGUAUUAAAACCAGUAAAUUCACUUUGCUAGAACUUGAAAUGUUCUCCAGGUGCAUCAUGGGUAGGGAAGAUCCCAGCCAAAGUUCAACUGUAGGUCAUUUGUUAGCAUUAGAAUACACUGUUGAUAGUUAGCUUUAUGUACUGAAAUAAUUUGAUAAAUAAAAGUUUAGCUGCUUUGUUUAUAGCUUUUUAGCUAGUCCUUUAUUAAUAAACGUUAUUUAAUUUAAAUCACUGUAAUAACUCUGAGUUGUAGCUGCAUAGACGUGGCAGCACUUUGUUGAUGCUAAUAGAACUGCUAGCUUAGAGCUUCUGCAAACAAAGCUGCGACUUUUACAUCAAGAACAAAACAAGAGAACAAGCCCUGAUUCGUCAAGCUGAAGCAAAUGGUUAGGUGUGGCUGAAAGCAGCACUCAGACAAACCUCACACACCUGAAAGAUAAACAGCAUUUAACUUUAGGAAAUACAGGGAUGCAAUUUUCCAAGAGCAGCUCCCAUGCAGGAGAGCACGACCAGAUCCUUCCCAGAGUUAGCAAAAGGGGAUUCUGUGUCACUGGGAGUCAUUUAGGAAUGAAUCUCAGUCAAUGUACUAAAAAGUUGCUUGUGACAAAAGACUCAGUGGUUCAUUUGUUUCCUCUUUUUAUGUGUCCAAACCGGUUCCAGCCAGCGCUUUGCUGAGAUAAACAUUACUGCGGUCACACGUCUCCUCCCUGCUGCUCCUUCACAGACGGAGCAGAAUCAUGUGAGGGCGGCGGAGAAACGCUGAGUCAUGCUGUGACCCAAGAAAACCAUUUGCCGCUUAAAGAUGUCUGCAGUGAACCUUGUUAGACGGAGGAGCAUCACUUCAUGGAAAUGGACCCGCAGAAUCGAGUGGAAACAUAAAUGAUUCAGUCAUCGGCUGUGUGUCUCCUCAGAUCAGUUCCUCAAACAGACACCCUGUUCUCGUCUGACACAGCAGAAGAAGCUGCUUUUUCCACUCGACUCUUUCAUCAGGAAGGCGUGUGAGGAUGUUGCUGAAUCAAGAUCACAUAAAUGGCUAUAAAGAA